rnacentral:rRNA from 1 species
CACGUAGGCGGAUAUUUAAGUCAGGGGUGGAAUCCCAGAGCUCAACUCUGGAACUGCCUUUGAUACUGGGUAUCUUGAGUAUGGAAGAGGUAAGUGGAAUUCCGAGUGUAGAGGUGAAAUUCGUAGAUAUUCGGAGGAACACCAGUGGCGAAGGCGGCUUACUGGUCCAUUACUGACGCUGAGGUGCGAAAGCGUGGGGAGCAAACA